GUACAGGGAGAAUAAUUCAACUAUGUUUAAAUGAACAAGAUGUUGAACAAGCGCAAAGAGUUCCAUCAUGUGCAGCAGAUACUACUGCGAGAAAUUCUUCGUCGUCACUGCUUGACGAAGAUUUUUCCUCCAGUGAGCAAAAAUCGCUGUCGGAAUCCUUUAAUAACAAAAGUAAUUGAGUUUCUUCCUCUUCCUCUAUUUCCUGUGCGUGCGUAGUCAUCUCUCAGUGUAUUGCAAAAAGUAAUCACUACGUUUAGUAGUAUAUUGUGGAAUUUGUGAAUUAAUUUAAUUUCGAAAAACUAACUUCAACAAACGUCAAACUGACAAAACAAACAAAGCUCAAAGCGCUAAAAAGUGCAUUCCGAUUUGAACAGUGAUUUGAUACUAAUUUCAAUUCGGAACGGGCGAUAUCGAUGAGAUCGCUGUAAUCGAUUUCAUCGCAUUUCGGAACGAAGCCCGAGUUAGCCAUGAUUAACCAUGGAGUUCUCCAAGCGCCAUGGUAUAAACCCUUAGACAAAGAAUAGGUUUCUUUAUCUAAGGAUUAAC
rnacentral:misc_RNA from 1 species